rnacentral:ribozyme from 14 species
ACGGAAAGAAAAAAAAAAGGAAAAAUAGUUAUUUUAUUAUUAUAUAUUAUUUGGGAAAGAAAGGAAAAAGUCUGCUUAAAUCUAUCUUUUUAUUCA